GGCGAAGUGGUGGAACUGGUAGACACGCUACUUUGAGGGGGUAGUGGGCGUUAGCCUAUGCGAGUUCGAGUCUCGCCUUCGUCA
rnacentral:tRNA from 1 species